UUUGGCAAUAAGAUGAUAAAGGAUAAGGAAAAACUUAAUGAAAUCCAGUAUAUAGAAGAUAUAAUGUCAGUGGAUAUGUCAGAGAAAACAGGGGAUAAAUCUUGAGGAAAAAGCCGUACAGCUGAGAAAGUGAGAGUUCUCUUGGUACAACUUGCUGCCCAUGGCUGCCUUUCCUCCUCCACCUCUGCUUCCUCCUCAGCUACCACAAGUACUACUACAUUUUCUUCCUCCUCACAAUGCAAGGAUACGUGUGAUUUACCAUAAAUCUUUUGCACUCAAAAAAGUCUGGAAAACAUCAGAUGUGUUAUUUACAGCUGCUUCAAUUUAGGGAGACCAGUUUUCAAUUCAUUGGUUCUCAUGAUUCAAGCUGGUCCACUUAGCAUGCCAAUGCAAAGUCAGAACUGGGUUACAAAAUUCUGUCAUCUCUCUUACUCCACCUCUGGGAGGAAUACUUAAUUCUAGUGCCUUGGCAAACAUUUUGGAUGUUAUCUGUGCUAUUCAGUCUCAUUUUGUCUUAAAUUAUAUUUCCCUGUGAUGUUGGAGGGUCCUCAAGCAUAAAGAAGAAUGGCUGGAUGUAUUCAAGAAUAGCCAAGUGCUGCAGAGCUUGGAGAAUAUCAAAACAUGUGGUAAUGUUGGUAGACAAAGAAAAAUGGGAAUCUCACUUCAAAGAUUCUUUGUUUAAGCUUACGGUUGCACAAACAACAUCUACAAGUCCUAGGUAACAAAGUAGUUAUUGCCCCACAGCUAACCAAAUUUCUGUUCCUAACUAAAACCCUGCCCUAUCUUCCCCAUUGUCUUCAUCUAAAGUGAAUAAGGAUGCUUUAAUCUUGUCUUGCUUCAGCAGCAUAGCAGAUUCAGACCCAACACCAGCUGUUAAGCGUGCACUGAUCGCACAUGCACAGAAUGCUACAUUAUGUGAUGCAAACAAAAACGUUACCAAGUUUUCUAAGACCAGCAUUUAAUGUUCAGGACUUAAGAUUUUCAGCACUGAACAUCCUAAUAACUUCGUUUUGCUCCCUUGAUCCCUGCAAAACUAUUAACCUAACCAACUUCUCAAGAACCUGUCUGCCUAUGUAUGUAUUUCUGAUGCCUUGUUUCCUCCAGAAGUGGCUUCUAAGGAAAUGGCCACAGCAAAACUGCUUCCACUCUCCUUACUGAAACACUGCCUCCUUGCUCAUUCAAGCACUGACUCUGCUAGCAUCUAUUUCGUGUAUUGCUUUACCCAUCUUUACACUUCCAAAGUAUUCAUUAUAAUUGUACCACAUGCUGCCCUCCACCAACAAGCUUCAGGACUGGUAUGAAAGUGGGAUUUUAAGCACUUAACACACUCUCACCUGUACCAUCAACCUUCCAAUAACAUGGGAUGCUAGUGUUCCCUAGAGCCACCCUAUUCUUGGAUGCUGGGUUGCUGCUGGAUCAUUCAGGAAGCAGCAUCAACAGUCAACACUAAGGAAGUGAUGAACAUGUCCAAUCCAGAGAGAAGAAUGACGAUGGAGAGAUGUUGAGGUAUCCUUCACUGAAAUGUUUCCAGAAAAAAAUAGUUACUCUGAAUCACUAUCAACAUGGAAACAAUAUAGCAACAGGAGCAAGACUGAUGGUGGCUGUGGCUGGAGGAGGGAGAGUGCCAGCACACUGCAUUGUGCUUCGGGUGUCAUGUUUAUUCCCAAAGCACAUCACUGCAUCCGCCGUGUGUCGCAACAGACGUCUUACAAGGAAUGAGGUCUGCACAUUGGCAAGGUCACGGCAGUCUGGCAGUCUGGCGUGGCACAACACUGACAUGACGACCAAGGGGAUGUACUAUUUGUUGUGGUUAUUUUGUGAUCUUUGUUAAUACAUUUUACAUAUUUAAUGAAUGAUUGAUCUAUCUACCUACUUAUCUAUCUGUUUAUUUUUAAUGAAGACUAAUACUGGUAAUUUUUUGUUAUGUGUUUUCUUAUGUAAUACUCUCGUGCUCUCUCACGAGGAGAAGAAAAAGACUCGCAAGAACUAAUAAUUCUAUCUACUAUACUAUUAUUCUCUCAUCAAAGAAAAGAAAAUAGCACGUUGCAUAAGAAAAUAAAUCAUACCAUCUA